rnacentral:rRNA from 1 species
AUUGAACGCUGGCGGCAGGCCUAACACAUGCAAGUCGAACGAGCGGCGGACGGGUGAGUAAUGUCUGGGAAACUGCGCGAUGGAGGGGGAUAACUACUGGAAAAGGUAGCUAAUACCGCAUACCAUCGGAUGUGCCCAGAUGGGAUUAGCUUGUAGUUGAGGUAACGGCUCACCAAGGCGACGAUCCCUAGCUGGUCUGAGAGGAUGACCAGCCACACUGGAACUGAGACACGUUCCAGACUCCUACGGGAGGCAGCAGUGGGGAAUAUUGCACAAUGGGCGCAAGCCUGAUGCAGCCAUGCCGCGUGUAUGAAGAAGGCCUUCGGGUUGUAAAGUACUUUCAGCGGGGAGGCGUUACCCGCAGAAGAAGCCCCGGCUAACUCCGUGCCAGCCGCCGCGGUAAUUC